GUCUACGGCCAUGCUACCCUGAGCAAGCUUGACCCGUCUGAUCUCGGAAGCUAAGCAGGGUGGGGCCUGGUUAGUACUCAGAUGGGAGGCCACCUAGGAAGACCAGGUGCUGUAGGCG
rnacentral:rRNA from 1 species